AUUUCUGCUCCAUGAUAUGUUAAAUAGCCGCAGUACUCUGACUGUGCAAAGGUAGCAUAAUCAGUUGGCUCCUAAUUAGAGUCUGGAAUGAAUGAAUAUAUGGGGAGUAGCUAUCUUAAAGUAUAUAUUUGAAAUUGGUUGUGGGUGAAAAUCCCCACAGAUUUCUAAAAGACGAGAAGACCCUAGAAACUUAUUUAACUGUUUUGUUGGGGCGACAAAAUUACAUAUAACUAAUUUUUUAUUACAGGACGAUUUCAGAUAGCUGAAGUUACUCUAGGGAUAACAGCAUAAUAUUUUUUGUUUGUGACCUCGAUGUUGGACUAGGUAAAGUAUUCCUAGAAGGGAAUAUAUAUGCUCUGUUCGAGCCAAGGAACCU
rnacentral:rRNA from 1 species